AAAAACAUGGCUCUUUGAAAUUAAUACAUAAAGAGUCGAGCCUGCCCAGUGAUAGCAUUUAAACGGCCGCGGUACUCUGACCGUGCGAAGGUAGCAUAAUCAUUUGCCCUAUAAUUGAGGGCUUGUAUGAAUGGUUUGACAAGAGCAUAGCUGUCUCCUUAAAAUUUUAUAGAAUUUGGUUUUUAGGUGAAGAAACCUAAAUGUGAUUGAAAGACAAGAAGACCCUAUCGAGCUUUAGAACAAUUAAUUAAAAAAUAUAAUUGAAAGAAUUGAUUUUAAUUAAAAACUUUGGUUGGGGCGACUGAGGAACAAACAAAGCUUCCUUAACUAAAAUGUGCUGAUAAGCAAUGAUCCAAAAAAUUUGAUUAAGAAAAUUAGUUACCGUAGGGAUAACAGCAUAAUCUUUUUUGAGAGCUCUCAUCGAAAAAAAGGUUUGUGACCUCGAUGUUGGACUAGGAUAUCCUAAAAGAUGCAGAAGUCUUUGAGGGUUGGUCUGUUCGACCAUUAAAAUCCUACGUGAU
rnacentral:rRNA from 1 species